AACCUCACUUUUGAACACGUGAUGAAAAUAAUCAUGUGUUCAAGUAUAUAUUUUAUUAACUUAUUUAUUAAUUAAAUGUUUCAAAAAAAAUUUUAUAUUAAAUUAAAAAUAUUAUAAAAUGUUAUUAUUUAAAUAUUUCUUUAAAAUCUUUUAACUAUUUAUAUGAUGAAAACAAGACUACAUCAUUUUUUAUACAAAAACAUUUAAAAACUUUAUUUACUAACUAAUAUAUUUAUGAAAUUGUCGUCAUGUCAAAACAGUUAUUGAAAUUCUUUCUACGAAAGAUAACAUGUCAGAAAAAUCUUCAAGAAACAAAUUUAUAAUUAAUUUUCGCAUGAUUUAUAUCUGAUGAGGACACGAAAUCGUGUCGAAACGCGUCAUGUGAAAUUUUAUAUAUAUUGAUAAUUAUUAAAAAGCCAAUAGGCCAAAAAAAUU